AUAAAUAAAUAAAUAAAUAAAAUAAAAAAGAUUUUGAUAAUAUUGGAAGUGGGACCUAAAGGGAGGUGUUUGGGUCAUGGGGGUCGAGCUAUCAUGAAUGGCUUGGUGCAGCCCCCAAGUAAUAAGUAGGUUCUCACUCUAUUAGUACAUACAAUAAAAAGAGAACCAUGUCAAAAGGUACCUGAGAUACACCAAGAAAGCUCAAACUUGAAGACAUGUUUUUAAUAUGUAAAUGUGUAUGAAUGGAUACAUACAAGAUGUGUUUAAAAUCUGUUUGAGCUGCCACUGUCAGAUUCAAUGUAUAGCUAGCAUCAAUUUGCUGGGGUUAGAGGGCAUCAAGAUCUUCCCAGAAAUUCAGAGCCUUAGGUAAUCCAAAGGAAGAUUCUGUCAACAUUUAUACCUAAGCUUGACAGCCCUGAUGCCUCUUUGGACCUGGCUUGGAAAUAUGAUCCUCUAUUGUAGCAAUUGUACCUUGUUGCUGAAUGAUGUCAUCAUCCACAAGAUGGAUCCAUUCUUGAUUCUCACCCUAUUGACUUUUUUCCAUUGCAACCAUAACAUGGGCUAGCUGCUCUACACCUCUCCAGUGGACUUCAAGUGCUGCUGAGCUCAAAUAAAUCUUGUCUGUCCCACCAUUUUAACCAGACAGGCAGAGCUCUUCUGUCUUAAGUGUCUCAUAAAUCUUUCAAAUAGGUAAACUUCUAGUGCUAUGCUUCCUCUGACCGUUCUGCUAUUCUGUUUUCCUGUGCCAUGGUUUCUCAUUAGGUUUUCUACUGUUUUUUUGUUUGUUUGUUUGUUUGUUUUUCUUUUUGUUUUUGUUUUUGAGAUGGAGUUUCACUCUUGUCGCCCGGGCUAGAGUGCAAUGGCGCGUUCUCGGCUCACUGCCGCCUCUGCCUCUCGGGUUCAAGCAAUUCUCCUGUCUCAGCCUCCUGAGUACCUGGGAUUACAGGCACCCCCCACCAAGCCCAGGUAAUUUUUUUUUUUUUUUGUAUUUUUGGUAGAGACAGGGUUUCACCAUAUUGGCCAGGCCGGUCUCGAACUCCUGACCUCAGGUGAUCCACCCACCUCGGCCUCCCAAAGUGCUGGGAUUACAGGCAUGAGAUACCGCGCCCGGCUCCAAAUUUAUUUUUUGCUUAUUUAUUUUUUAUUUAUCUUAACUUUUUUAGAGAUGGGUUUUCUCUCCGUUGCCCAGGGUGAAAUGCAGUAGCCUGAUUAUAGCCUGCUGCAGUCUCAAACUCCUGGGCUUAUGUGAUCCUCCCAUCUCAGCCUGCUGAGUAGCUGGGAUUACAGGCAAGAGCUGAGUCGCCGCCCCUGUCAAAAUGCCUUGAAACAGUUAUUCCUGGGUAUGGCUGAGAGGGAUAUGACUGAAGGCUCUUGCUCAAGUCUCUCUGAGCCUGAUAAAUUUUGCAUACUUUACAUUCCUCAGGCUGCUUUGAGCCACUUUUCUUUCUUACCCUUAAUGUCCAUCUGAUUGUGGUCAAAUCCAUUGUUCUAACUCAUUUUAGAAGCAGAGUACCUUUGUAGAUGAUGAAAAAACCCGACCUCUACCUUCUUAAAUUCAGUGUGUAGAGCCUGUCACUUUUUUUUUUUUUUUUGAGACAGAGCCUUGCUCUGUCGCCCAGGCUGGAGUGCAGUGGCACAAUCUUGGCUCACUGCAAGCUCUGCCUCCGGGGUUCAAGCAAUUCUCCUGCCUCAGCCUCCUG
rnacentral:lncRNA from 1 species